GAUGAACGCUGGCGGCGUGCCUAAUACAUGCAAGUCGAGCGAACGGACGAGAAGCUUGCUUCUCUGAUGUUAGCGGCGGACGGGUGAGUAACACGUGGAUAACCUACCUAUAAGACUGGGAUAACUUCGGGAAACCGGAGCUAAUACCGGAUGAUAUUUUGAACCGCAUGGUUCAAAAGUGAAAGACGGUCUUGCUGUCACUUAUAGAUGGAUCCGCGCUGCAUUAGCUAGUUGGUAAGGUAACGGGUUACCAAGGCAACGAUGCAUAGCCGACCUGAGAGGGUGAUCGGCCACACUGGAACUGGGACACGGUCCAGACUCCUACGGGAGGCAGCAGUAGGGAAUCUUCCGCAAUGGGCGAAAGCCUGACGGAGCAACGCCGCGUGAGUGAUGAAGGUCUUCGGAUCGUAAAACUCUGUUAUUAGGGAAGAACAUAUGUGUAAGUAACUGUGCACAUCUUGACGGUACCUAAUCAGAAAGCCACGGCUAACUACGUG
rnacentral:rRNA from 1 species